GCGGCGGACGGGUGAGUAAUGCCUAGGAAUCUGCCCGAUAGUGGGGGACAACGUUUCGAAAGGAACGCUAAUACCGCAUACGUCCUACGGGAGAAAGCAGGGGACCUUCGGGCCUUGCGCUAUCGGAUGAGCCUAGGUCGGAUUAGCUAGUUGGUGGGGUAAAGGCUCACCAAGGCGACGAUCCGUAACUGGUCUGAGAGGAUGAUCAGUCACACUGGAACUGAGACACGGUCCAGACACCUACGGGAGGCAGCAGUGGGGAAUAUUGGACAAUGGGCGAAAGCCUGAUCCAGCCAUGCCGCGUGUGUGAAGAAGGUCUUCGGAUUGUAAAGCACUUUAAGCUGGGAGGAAGGGCAGUAAGCUAAUACCUUGCUGUUUUGACGUUACCAGCAGAAUAAGCACCGGCUAACUUCGUGCCAGCAGCCGCGGUAAUACGAAGGGUGCAAGCGUUAAUCGGAAUUACUGGGCGUAAAGCGCGCGUAGGUGAUUCAGCAAGUUGGAUGUGAAAGCCCCGGGCUCAACCUGGGAACUGCAUCCAAAACUACUGGGCUAGAGUAUGGUAGAGGGUGGUGGAAUUUCCUGUGUAGCGGUGAAAUGCGUAGAUAUAGGAAGGAACACCAGUGGCGAAGGCGACCACCUGGACUAAUACUGACACUGAGGUGCGAAAGCGUGGGGAGCAAACAGGAUUAGAUACCCUGGUAGUCCACGCCGUAAACGAUGUCAACUAGUUGUUGGGUUCCUUGAGGACUUAGUAACGAAGCUAACGCGAUAAGUUGACCGCCUGGGGAGUACGGCCGCAAGGUUAAAACUCAAAUGAAUUGACGGGGG
rnacentral:rRNA from 1 species